rnacentral:lncRNA from 1 species
CUGUGCCCUUCUCUUACUCGAUUGAACCUGCAUCUCUUUUAUGUCUCCUGCAUUGGCAGGUGGAAUCUUUACUACCAGUGUCACCUGGGAUGCCUGAAAUAAUAAGUAAUUUUUAUUAAAAGAUAUUAAUUCAUAUAAAGCAAGCUUUAGAAGGAAUUUUUCUGAAUGGAAAACAAUAAAAAAGUUAAUAGUAGCAGUAAAAGAAGUAUGAAAUACUAGUUUGCAUUCCCACCAACAGUGUAGGAGGGUUCCCUUUUCUCCACACCCUCUCCAGCAUUUAUUGCUUGCAGAUUUUUGGAUCGCAGCCAUUCUGACUGGUGUGAAGUGGUACCUCAUUGUGGUUUUGAUUUGCAUUUCUCUAAUAAUGAGUGAUGUUGAGCAUCUUUUCAUGUGUUUGUUAGCCAUCCGUAUGUCUUCUUUGGAGAAAUGUCUAUUUAGUUCUUUGGCCUAUUUUUUUUAUUGGGUCGUUUAUUUUUCUGGAAUUGAGCUGCAUAAGUUGCUUGUAUAUUUUUGAGAUUAGUUGUUUGUCAGUUGCUUCAUUUGCUAUUAUUUUCUGCCAUUCAGAAGGCUGUCUUUUCACCUUGCUUAUAUUUUCCGUUGUUGUGCAGAAGGUUUUAAUUUUAAUUAGAUCUCAUUUGUUUAUUUUUGCUUUUAUUUCCAGAAUUCUGGGAGGUGGAUCAUAGAGGAUCCUGCUGUGAUUUAUGUCGGAGAGUGUUUUGCCUAUGUUCUCCUCUAGGAGUUUUAUAGUUUCUGGUCUUACAUUUAGAUCUUUAAUCCAUUUUGACUUUAUUUUCGUCUACGGUGUUAGAAAGUGAUCUAGUUUCAUUCUUUUACAAGUGGUUGACCAGUUUUCCCAGCACCACUUGUUAAAGAGAUUGUCUUUACUCCAUUGUAUAUUCUUGCCUCCUUUGUCAAAGAUAAGGUGUCCAUAUGUGUGUGGAUUUGAAAAGAUGCUCAACAUCACUCAUUAUUAGAGAAAUGCAAAUCAAAACCACAAUGAGGUACCACUUCACACCAGUCAGAAUGGCUGCGAUCCAAAAAUCUGCAAGCAAUAAAUGCUGGAGAGGGUGUGGAGAAAAGGGAACCCUCCUACACUGUUGGUGGGAAUGCAAACUAGUACAGCCACUAUGGAAAACAGUGUGGAGAUUCCUUAAAAAAUUGCAAAUAGAACUACCUUAUGACCCAGCAAUCCCACUGCUGGGCAUACACACCGAGGAAACCAGAAUGGAAAGAGACACAUGUACCCCAAUGUUCAUCGCAGCACUGUUUAUAAUAGCCAGGACAUGGAAACAACCUAGAUGUCCAUCAGCAGAUGAAUGGAUAAGAAAGCUGUGGUACAUAUACACAAUGGAGUAUUACUCAGCAGUUAAAAAGAAUUCAUUUGAAUCAGUUCUGAUGAGAUGGAUGAAACUGGAGCCGAUUAUACAGAGUGAAGUAAGCCAGAAAGAAAAACACCAAUACAGUAUACUAACACAUAUAUAUGGAAUUUAGAAAGAUGGCAAUGACGACCCUGUAUGCAAGACAGCAAAAAAGACACAGAUGUGUAUAACGGACUUUUGGACACAGAGGGAGAGGGAGAGGGUGGGAUGAUUUGGGAGAAUGGCAUUCUAACAUGUAUACUAUCAUGUAAGAAUUGAAUCGCCAGUCCAUGUCUGACGUAGGGUGCAGCAUGCUUGGGGCUGGUGCAUGGGGAUGACGGAAAAAAAAGAAACAUGAUUGAUCCCCUACUCUCAUUAAGCUUCAUAGUCAAAUGGGGGAGCUAAACCUUAAUCAAAAUUGACCAUGAAUAAAUGUAAAAUGACAACUGGACAAGUAAGGGAGGGGUACAAAUAAUAACCGUAGGUCAGAGGGAAUGUAUCUUUCAGGAGGUUAUGACUGAGCUGAAAGACAGUAAAAGGAAAAUUUUUUUAAGGUAAAAAAGGGAAAGUGAUAGGAUAAGGUUCAAACUUGAGUUCAAAAAGAGGGACACAGCCUCUUACUACAGGAAAACACUUAAGAAUACAUGCGUGGAUUUGAGUAUUUAAUAUUAUUCUUUUGAUACCAGGGCUUCCCCAGUAGCUCAGUGGUAAAGAAACUGCCUGCCAAUGCAGGAGACGCAGGUUUGACACAGGUUCCCUGGGUCGCGAAGAUCCCCUGGAGGAUGGAACGGCAACUCACUCCAGUAUUCUUGCUUGGGAAAUCCCAUGGUCAAAGAAGUUUGGUGGGCUACAGUCCACAGGGUUGCAAAAAAUGUUGGACACGACCUUGUGGCUGUGGGCUUCCCUGGUUGCUCAGCUAGUGAUGAAUCUGUCUGCAUUACAAGAGAUCCUGGUUCAAUUCCUGGGUCAGGAAGCUCCGCUGAAGAAGGGAUAGGUUACCCACUCCAGUAUUUUUGGGCUUCCCUGAUAGCUCAGACAGUAAAGAAUCUGCUUGCAAUGCGGGAGAUCUGGAUUCGAUCCCUGGGUUGGGAAGAUCCCCUGGAGAAAGGAACAUGCUACCCACUCCAGUAUUCUGGCCUGGAGAAUUCCAUGGAUGGAGGAGCAUGGCAGGCUACAUGGGAUUGCAAAGAGUCAGAGAUGACUGAGUGACUUUCACUUCACUUCACUUUGAUUAGUAAUGUCGUUUUCAUUAUUAAAUUUUACAAAGACACUGUCUGUGAGAUCUUCAAAGAGGUGACAUUUGAUUUAUGUUUAAAAAUAUCAAGGCAUUCUAACAUGUAUACUAUCAUAUAAGAAUUGAAUCGCCAGUCUAUGUCUGACGCAGGGUGCAGCAUGCUUGGGGCUGGUGCAUGGGGAUGACCCACAGAGAUGUUAUAGGGAGGGAGGUGCGAGGGGGGUUCAUGUUUGGAAACGCAUGUAAGAAUUAAAGAUUUUAAAAUUAAAAAAAUAAAAAACUAAAAAAACUAAAAGUAAAAGAAUAAAAAUAAAAAAAAAUAAAAAGAAAGCUAGUAGAAGCAUUUUUAUUUCAAUACCAAAGAAAGGCAAUGCCAAAGAAUGUUCAACCUAUAGCACAAUUGCACUCAUCUCACAUGAUAGUAAAAUAAUGCUCAAAACUCUUCAAGUCAUGCUUCAACAGUAUGUGACCCGUGAACUUCCAGAUGUUCAAGCUGGAUAUAGAAGAGGAAGAGGAACCAGCGAUCAAAUUGCCAACAUCCAACUGAUCAUCAAAGAAGUGAGAGAUUUCCAG